UCUCUGAGAGCCCUAAGGGUUCAGGUUAGUUGAUUCUGUUGGUCUUCCUGUGGAGUUCUAUACCCGUUGGGGCAUGCAAUCCCUCUUCCUAUUCUUCCAUAAGAGUCCCCAAGCUCCAUCCACUGUUUGGCAGUUGGUGUCUGCAUCUGUCUGAGUAAGCUGCUGGGUGAAGCUUUUCAGAGGACAACAUCAAGCAGAAUAAGAGUAUAAAUAAUAGUGUCGGGGAUUGGUGCUUACCCAUGGUAUGGGUCUCAACUUGAGCCCUUGUUGGAUGGCCAUUUCCUGGAGAUGCUCCCCACCUCCUCACCCCUUGCUACUGUCCUGAAUUUGCAUGAGACAUGGACCUGGAAGAAUUCAGGAAUGGGAAAGGAGGACAGACAGUACUCUCUUUGUCUUAGGCAUGGUCCAUCCAACCCCAUUUUGCAGGAUCCCACUGACCUGGUUGCAGAAGACCAUCAUGCUCUGGUGUUGAUCUUUCUCUUCUUUGGACUGCCAGGAUCAUGGGAUGUCUGCUGAGGAAAGCUACAGGGAUGGGGUGCCUUUGACUCUCUUGUAUCUGCUACUUCUUUGGAUAUUAUCAUGCAGCAUCUCUUACCAUCUUUAUCUGGUGACAGUUUUCCUGUCCUGUGAUAACAGUGGCAUCAAACCCGUUACUCAGUUCUCUGUUGUUUCCUUUAGGCAGUGAAAGUUCAUGUGGCAGAUCCUUUGAAUGAUUCUCCAUGUGCCAUGCUGGACCCUUUGGGGAGCAGGCUUUCCCAGUCAUAGAUAUUCUGGUAAGCAGUUGAGAUCCUCAGUUCUGGACACAUAGGUAUGGCUUCAGUGUUUCCUCAAUCAGUUUGGGGAAAUAUUUAUUAGCCUUGUUCAGUGGGUUCAAUUAACUUGAGAGCAGUUAAGAUAAGAAUCAUCCUCAUGAGUUAUGAGCUAUGAACUGCCAAACAAACACUCAAUCUAGUGUUUCUGCAAGUGCCUCUCUCAGAACCUCACCUCACCCUCUGUGAGUUUGACAGAAGGCUAAAGCAUUGUAGAAAAAAGUCUAAAUUUAUUUCCCUACAGCACUUGACAGCAC
rnacentral:lncRNA from 1 species